UACGGGAGGCAGCAGUGGGGAAUAUUGCACAAUGGGCGAAAGCCUGAUGCAGCUAUGCCGCGUGUAUGAAGAAGGCCUUAGGGUUGUAAAGUACUUUCAUCGGGGAGGAAAAACAAAACUAAUAAUUUUAUUUCUUGACGUUACCCGAAAAAGAAGCACCGGCUAACUCCGUGCCAGCAGCCGCGGUAAUACGGAGGGUGCUAGCGUUAAUCAGAAUUACUGGGCGUAAAGAGCACGUAGGUGGUUUUUUUAAGUCAGAUGUGAAAUCCCUGGGCUUAACCUGGAAACUGCAUUUUGAAACUAAAUACUAGAGUAUCGUAGAGGGAGGUAGAAUUCUAGGUGUAGCGGUGAAAUGCGUAGAUAUCUGGAGGAAUACCUGUGGCGAAAGCGGCCUCCUAAACGAAUACUGACACUGAGGGUGCGAAAGCGUGGGGAGCAAACAGGGAUUAGAUACC
rnacentral:rRNA from 1 species